CGGGCCAUGGGGCGCCCGGGUGGGCGGGCGGCCGGAGCAGGAGCCCGGCGGGACUCGGGUCUCGGGCUGCACAGAGCAGUGAUGCAAUGUCCACAGACAGGGUAGAGACCCUGUGAGUCCAGGAAGCAGAGAAUCCCAGAU
rnacentral:lncRNA from 1 species